UGUAAACACACCUACAGAAACCUAACACACCUGAAAACACACAUACACACACACACACUUUGCAGGUCUGUCUGUUAGCUGGUCACUCUAUACAUCACCACCACCACCACCAUGGCCACCACUCUCACCACAAUCCCCCACCACCUCCACUAUAUCACCAUGCCCCCCCCCUCCCGCCUCCCCCCCACCCCUUCACUAGCUCUCUAAGUCUCGUGUGUAGCCAAGACCACAUGUAUAGCUCAGUGCAGUUCUAAGGCAUAUAUCGCUUGUGUUAUUUUCGAACGUUUGUGGAUUCUUUUUUUUUUUCUUCUUUUAGACGCCCACUGAUCAGCUCCAGGGAACCAUAGACGAAAGGAGUCACGGUUGAGAGACGAGGAGAAGGUAUUCAGGAAUUCUCUCGGACCAUAUUCUCAAAGGCAUCGGGGCUCGCACACCCACAUCUGAUCAGGCUUUUGAAGAGGUUGUGUUGUUGUGGGUAUCUCCAUGGGUAGUUUCAUGAGCCUAGUGGUAGUAUGACAAGGCUUGUGUAUCGUGAACGUGGAAAAGCACCCAUGACAAACCGACUAAUCUCCUUAACCCGUCCGCUGCGAUUGGCACGGAUUUGGCCUUCACUGGUAGCCUGGUAACAUAAACUCCCAGGUCUUUCUCUGCCUCUGUGGUGGAUAGUGGAGUGUUUCCCAUGUGGUAUUGGUAUGCUGGGUUCUUCACUGAAUUGUAGCAGCCACUUUUUGAUCCAUUCCUGUAGCUUGGUGGUGUCUUCUUGUAGGAAAUCCGCAGUCAAGGAAGUAUUUGUUGUUGGAACCGAAUGUGUCUGAGAAUGUGGGCCCGAGUCUGUAUAGAGGACGAUUGAAUAGUUUUGGAGAGAGAAAGAUUGGCUCCGUUUAUGAUUUUUAAAAGGAUCUGAUUCUCUCCCUUCAUGUAUUAACCAACGUUGCCAGAUUGUCGUAUUUGUUGUUGGAACGUCUGAGGAUACCGGCCCGAGUCUGCAUGGAGGACGAUCGAAUACUUUUGGAGAGAGAAAGCUUGCAUCCGUAUAUGAGUUUUAAAAGGUUCUGAUUCUCUCCCUUCAUGUAUUCACGUUCCAAGGCUGUACAGAAAGAAAUCCGAUACUUUAGAGAGAGGAUUUAUGAUUUUCUGGCAUCAUCACCUUUUCCUUCCUCAUGUAUUUAAGUUUCAAAUCUGAAUAGAGGGAUAUCAGAUCCUUUUAGAGAGGGUUUGAUCGUGUAUGAUUUUUUCCAUGGCGUUUCUCAUGUAUUUCUCGAUCCUAUAUAAAAGCGAUUCGAUCCUUAAGAGAGGGUUUGAUUGUGUAUGAUUUUUUCCAAGGCGUCUGUUCUCUCAUGUAUUUCUCAAACCUGUAUAAAAGCGAUUCGAUCCUUAAGAGAGGGUUUGCUCCGUUUACGAUUCUUUAGUAUACUCAAACUUUUCAUGUAUAUACGUUUCAAGCCUGUAUAGAAAGGAAUCCGAUCCCUCAGAAAUAGAGUUUGAUCCGUUUAUGAGUUUUCUAUUCAGACACAGCUUACCAUUCUCCCUCGUGAAUUUGCAUCUCAGGAGCUUUUUUUUUCUCUCUCUCUCUCUCUUUCAUUUGGUCUUUUUAAAUAAUCUGAUUUGUCCGUUUAUCAAGGCCGAGCAGGAUUGAGGAAAGCGGGGCUGGAGGAGAGUUUUUUUUUUUUUUAAUAUAAGUUUCUAGGAAUUCGAACCCAACGAAGACUUUUUUUUCUGGAGUCGAGUCUUUGGAAUAAUAUGAUGAAUUAACGAGUGGAUUUCAAGACAGGGAACUGGACUUACAAUGAAUAGACGUGCGCUAUAUUUUUCCUUUUUUUCUUAUUUUCUUCUUUUUUUUCACUUGUCUUAUUUUUUCUUCUCUUGUUUCCCUUCAUUUAUAUUUUCGCUAAUGUAUUUUAUUUUAUGUUUUAUUUUACUUAAUCUUAUCUUUUUCUUAUUUUUUCAUGUAUUUCUUAUUUUUUCAUGUUAUCCAAGAGAAGAUGGCGCCACUAUAAACACUUGCCUGCGCCAUCACGACUACCAUCCAGGCCCCUCAAGCAAGCCUACCGGCACUAUAGGCGUAGACGUAAAAAAAAAAAAAAAUAUUAUCUUUUAUAUUUUUCAUGUUUUCAUUUUCAUUUUCAUUUUCUUUUUAUCUUUUCAUUUUGGGGGAAUUCAUAUCAAAGGAGGGAAUGAUUAAGCUUACGAGAGACAAGAGCGUGAAAAGAAGAGGCUGUUUUUUUCUCCGUAUCUCUUUCAAGGUAUUUUGGGGCAGGAAUUCAUAUCAGCGAGGGCAAGGAACCGAGCUUACCAAGAAACAUGAGUAGCGAAUAACGUAGAUUUCUCCCCAUUGUCCUGUUAAGUAGCUAAGAAAGGCGUGAUUUAUAGACGCUUGGUGAUUGCGCUAAAAGGCGACUCGUUAUAAAUGGCAAGGGAUUCGAUGCUGCUGAAUAGGAUCGGAAUGUUUUGGUUGGAGGUCUUUCGUGCACUUAUGAUUUCUUCUUUUUUUUUUCUUUUUUUGUGAGUAUUUAUGAUUUUUAUGGACUUGUUUCGUAUCUGAGUAUUUGUCAUUUUUUAUCAGAUUUAUCAUUCGUGUGUGUGUGUGUGUGUGUGUGUGUGUGUGUGUGUGUGUGUGUGUGUGUGUGUGUGUGUGUGUAUUAGGUGGGUGGUUGACCUUUCAAAGCGUUAGUAUACAAGUUUUAACAUCCAUCAUCGAUUACUUAAAUGACUUACAGUAGUGUGUGUGUGUGUGUGUGUGUGUGUGUGUGUGUGUGUGUGUGUGUGAUAAACCUAACUGAUAGACUGUUUGGUAGACUAGCUGCGUGAUUGGUUGACUGUUUGGUAGACUAACUGCGUGAUUGGUUAACUGUUUGGCAGAUUAAGUGCGCGAUUGGUUAACUGAUAUCCUGUUUUUUUUUUUCGGGGAAGGAUUGAUUGGUUAAGUUUGUAAUUGACUAACAUACCUCAUUGAUUAGUUGACUGAAUAAUUUCCUGAUUGUUAGAAUAAUUGGAUGAUGGUUUGACUGACUUUCUGAUUAACUGAUUGAAAGAAUGUACUGGAUAUUUUUUCACUGGACAUAACUGAGUGACUGACUUCUUGAGAUUCGAAAAGAUGCACAAUAAUAAUAACUUAGCUGCAUAAAUUAAAGACAUUGAGUUGUGUGUAGUUACGAACACGGCCAAAAACCAUCUCUUAUUACCUUCAUGUUCCUAGGUGGUGAGUCGUGUGGUUGAUGCUCCUGUUCAUUAGACGCAUUAUCGAGGGGACAGGUAACUUGGUACAGGUGUUUGGUGCACUCAGAUGGUCACUCUUAUAUUUUGUCAGAGGGGAUUGUAUUGUCAACCUCUGGAAAGAUGACUAGAACAUUCGUUUACGUAUAUUGUUUGCUUUGGAAGAGAAACUAACGAGGAACGGAAGGUAUUGACUAAAAUUGACUCAUGUUUUAAUCUGUUUUCAUCUUUCACGUUCUUGGUUUGGGGUUUCUUUCUGAGCUGCCUGUUUCCAAGUCGCCUGCUUCUUCCUCCUCUCAGACACUCAGACAUUCCAAGGCUUACACACCCACAUUUGAUAAGACUCAUAGAGGUUAUUGUUGGUAUUUCCUUGGGUACUUUUAUGAGUCUAGCGAUAGUUUGACAAGGCUUCUGCACCAUGAACGCGGAAAACACUCAUUAGAACUCGACUGAUCUCUUGUAUGGCCUUUUGGAAAUACUUUGAGAGUUCUGAGAGUACGAGAGCUUCUGAGAGUACGGGCCUCGUCAAACGUCCUCUUGCUCAAUGCUCGCGUUCCUUCGGCCGCACCACUGCUCAUGUCCUCCACACCUGUGAUACCUCGCACCUAAGACACGUAUACGAUCGCUUUAAUGGAUAGGUAACUGAUAAUGACGGUAACGCUAAGGCUACUCGUGUAAGGGUAAGGAUAGUAGUGGUUGGUGGUUUACGGCUCAAAAGACUCACGCUCCUGCUUCUAAAUUAGGGUUUCUUGAGUUUCCGAUCCCGCGCUCAAGAAAAUGUAAAUAGAGAAAAGGAUAAUAUAUAGAGAAGUAAAGGAAUGAUGAACGCUUCCGAACGCUGUUGCUUCUAAAUUAGGGUUUCUUGAGUUUUCGAACCCGCGCUCAAGAAACUGUAGAUAGAGAAAGUAAAAAAAAUGUGAACGUUUCCGAACUCGCGCUCAAGAAAAUGUAGAUAGAGAAAAGGAUAAUAUAUAAAGCAGUAAAAGAAUGAUGAGAGUUUCCGAACCCGCGCUCAAGAAAAUGUAAACAGAGAAUAGGAUAAUAUAUAGAGAAGUAAAAAAAAUAUAAACGUUUACGAACUCGCGCUCAAGAAAAUGUAAAUAUAGAAAAGGGAAAUAUAUAGAGAAGUAAAAAAAUUAUGAACGUUUCCGAAUUCGCGCUCAAGAAAAUGUAAAUAUAGAAAAGGGAAAUAUAUAGAGAAGUUAAAAAAAUUAUGAACGUUUCCGAAUUCGCGCUCAAGAAAAUGUAAAUAUAGAAAAGGGAAAUAUAUUAAGUAAAAGCAUAGAAUGGAACUUUGUGAACCAGAGAUUAGUAAAGUAAUGAAAAGAAGACUCAUUUAAUAACUCAUCAACUCUCGAUAUAGAUAAACUUUGGUAAAGAUUAGGAUUUCUAAAGUUUCCAAACCCUCGCUCAAAAAAAAAAUGGGAAUGGAGAAAAGUAAAAAAAAUAGGGAAGUAAAAUAUUAGACUUGAACUUUGUGAACUUGAAAUUAUUUAAGUAAUGAAAAAACUCAACUCAUGAACACUCGAAAUAGAUAACUUUAGGUAAAUAUUAGAAUUUCUCAAGUUUCCAAACCCUCGCUCAAAAAAAAAUGGGAAAGGAGAAAAGAAAAAACAGGGAAGUAAAUGAAUAGAACAGAACUUUGCAAACUAUUUUUUUAUAGAGAUUAUUUAAGUGAUGAAAAAAACUCACUCAUGAAUACUCGAAAUAUAUAAAGUAAGGUAAAGUAAAGUUAAGUCGAAGGCAACUGUAACGACCUUUUAAAUAUUAGUUUCCUUCUUCAAUAGACGACUCAGGGCACCAAACACCAUCAGCACCAAGGGAUCUGAACCUCUGAUAGGGAAACCAUGAGUCUGUGUAUAUUAGCAUUUCAUCCCUCUUAGAAAACGUCCCAAGAAGCCGCCGCUCGUUUUUUGCUGAUAGGAUGGAAGGGGUGACGAUACUGUAUUUCUCAUUGUUUGGUUAUGUUACGUUUCCGCUAUUUUUGUGAUCCAGGAGACAUAGGAGGAUCAAAACGCACCUCAGGCCAAAAUUGAUUAUCCUUUUGUUGUCUUCUGUGUUAUUUAUGUAGUGUUUUUUACUUUUCUUUUGUUUAAUAUUUUUGUUUGUGUUUUUUUUUUCAGUAGCUUCAUUGGCCUUUCAUUUCAUUCCUCUUUUUUGCCUCAUCAUCACCCUAAUUUCUUGUUUUCUUUGUAUUGCUGUUCCUUUUGUUGUCUUGUGUUAUUUAUAUUUUUUUCGUUUACUUUAUAGUUUUAUUUCUGGAUCAUUUUCAUUGGCUUCAUUGUCCCUUCAUUUCAUUCGCCGUUUCUCCUCAUCAUCACCCUAAUUUCCUGUUUUCUAUAUAUUGCUGUUUAUAGUGCGGGUUCCUGUCUUAUUUCGUCUUGGCCUUGCCCUCUGCACUCGACUCAAAAGAACACCAGGAGCUUCACAAGAUACAGAGAGUUGCCUGCAGAAGAAGACAGAGGGAGACGCUGAAAGACAAGGGCCAGCUGUAGCUCCAGAAGUGUCCUGACUAUGUAUUCGUGACCUGAGGAUUGAGGUUGUUUCCAUGUGUCUCUCCCGUCUUGUUGCUUACGUCGUGACAGUCAUGAGUCGAACGAACGAACGCCACUCCUUCAGCAACACAAAAAAACGUAGAUUUGUAUUCGCUUGGUCGGAAGGAAAAGGAAAGCAAGGUAAGUGAUAAGGUUUUGUAUUAAUUCAUAGGUUUGACUUAGGUUACCAAGAAGACAUUCCCGUGUGGCUUUAUUUGUUGUCCUGUUUUUAAUGGAUCUGACGGUGAAAAAUGUGAGAUGGUUGAGCUCGGACAUUCCUGGAGGUGCGGGAGCCUUUCCACAUCUUCGGCGUGAGUGUAAAGGUGUGUUUGGAUACAUUUGAUAUACUCGUGAUAGGAGAAAAAUAUUUGAACAACCUGAAGAUGAAAAACAGUAAACUGAUUGAACUCAUACAUGAUUUGAGGUGUGCUGAGUCUUCUUACCGCCCUGGCGUGAGUGUAAAGGUGUGUUUUGAUACAUCUGAUAUACUCGUGAUAGGAAACAUAUUUGAGGAACCUGAAGAUGAAAAACAGUUAAUUGAUUGGACACAGACAUUAUUUGAGGUGUGUUGAGUGUUCGUACCUCCCUGGCGUGUGUGUUAAGGUGUGUUUGGAUACAUCUGAUAUACUCGCGAUAGAAAACAUAUUUGAGGAACCUGAAGAUGAAAAACAGUUAAUUGAUUGGACACAGACAUUAUUUGAGGUGUGUUGAGUCUCCUUACCUCCCUGGCGUGAGUGUAAAGGUGUUUUUGGAUACAUCUGAUAUACUUGUGAUAGGAGAAAAAUACUUGAGGAGCUUGUAGAUGGAAAACAGUAAAUUAAUUGAACAUAGACAUUAUUUGAGGUGUGUUGAGUCUCCUUACAUCCUCGGCGUGAGUGUAAAGGUGUGCUGCAGACAUGGAGGAUACGAAUGUUACAAGUGAAGGUGUGUGAAGAACCUAAGAUGAAAAAACAGUGUAAUUAUUUAACUAAAACAUUCUUUGAGGUGUGUUCAAGUCUGUCCACCUCCUUGGCGUGAGUGUAAGGGUGUGAUGAAAGACGUGGAAGAUAUUCGUGAUAGAAAACCUGUCUUAGGAACCUGAGGACGAGAGAAAAAGGGAACUGAUUAAACUAAGGCGUUCCUGAAGGUAUAUUGGAGUCAGUUAACCUUGGUGCGAGUGUGCAGGUGUUGAAAAUCUAAUGGUAAUAAGUUUGUAUGAUUUCUCUCUUUUCUAAUUAGAGUGAAGGUGAUAGAAAGUGAGAUGGCUGAACUAAGACAUUCCUAGAGGUGUGUAAGAGCCAGUUCACUUCCCAGCCAUGACAAUAAAGGUAAUUUAAAAGGGAGAAAAGGUAAUAAUGUAGAAUACCGGUUUUUUUUAGGGGGGUGUUAAGUAAAAGUGUUUGGGUUUGUUUGUUUGUGUUCUCGCUGUAAGGUCUUGGUCUUCUUCAGCGUACAGACGUGUGUUGAGAAAGACAGACAUUUUUUUUUUUACAACAAAUGAUAGUGUUUAGCAUGACUGUGUGCUGUGGGUGAGCUGUUGAGGUGGCUGGAUGUUCCUCGGUGCCGGGCUGACGAGUUUGUGUACAGGAGGAAGUGUAAAGGAAGUGUAGAGUGUAAGUGCAAAGCGGUGUGUUGCGUGGCUGUGGUGUGGACAUGUUGUUAGGGUAAAUGGCCUGUUUCUUAGAACGUAUGUAAGCAUGUGUAUCGGGCAGGGACUUCUUGACGGUGGGUGUCAGUAGGGGGCAGGGGGGUGAUGGGUACUAAGCGGGUGAUGGGCUGUGUGGGUUCCGUGGGUGGCUGGGCGUCGCCAUGAGUUGUAAGCGUGGCGUGUUUGGCCCCGCGACUGAUUGGUAACUUUUGUAUUCUUGGUUUAGUGUCAUUUAAGUAUUUAUUUCUUACUGCAAAAUUGUUACUGUGAAGCUUUAACUUACCAAGCUUUAAGGAGGACCACUGAGUAUGACUCUGUCUGUUGUCUUGUGCAUCUUUGGUGAAGUGUUUCCUGUUAGCUGUUUGUUAUUUGUUCGGCAGAUCGGGAGAGCUGAACUGCCUCAUUGGUGCCCCACUUGCCAAAGCCUUAUGUCAUGUAUCCAUUAAAAAUCAGUGAAACUAUCACAGUUUAUUUUACAUUAGGUUGUUACGGGACAUAAUCUACUGUACAGCUGUACAAGCACUUUGUUAGUUGCUGUUACGGGCCGCGGCCGGCACGGGAGACUUGCGUGGCAGGGCCAGUUUGCGGCACUACUCUCUGACUGGCAACUGGCCGUGCCACUGACAAGUCCGGGCCACGCCGCCGCCCAUAUACGGCCGCGCCCUGCAGCGGCGACACGCGUGCUGCAGAGGCGGCGGCGGCGGCGUGGCAGCGGCAGACAUUAGGAGCAGAGGCAACACACAGGCGGGACACAGGGCGGCUGUGUCCUCCCACCACCACAGUCACGUUACCCUAACUGUUAAAACAACACACUGACGGAAGGUCGGCUUUGGGAGCUGCGACGGGAGGCGGCGGCCGCCCAGGGCUGCGUGCCGCGACGGACAACACGCCGCACGCCGCACGCUGGGCGCCGCACGGCCUCCGUGUUAACGUCUGCAGCGGCUGCUGCGUUGUGGUCUGUUCGGGGGACAUGUUUGGGGUUCCAUAAUGCAUUCUGGGUGAACAAAACUGGUGUUGAGGUUCAUUGCACCUGUAAAACUAUGACACAAACAAAGUCCAUUUAUUACAUAAACUACUGUGGCACUCAAAUGGAAACAUGAAACUGAAGCUGAAAAGGCUGGGAAAAGUUUGUCGUUGAGCCGAGCAGCCGUCGGGAGGAGGGACGGGGCGAGGAGAGUUACCGGGACUAACUUAACUUACGAUGGAAAUGCCAGUGGUUCAUAACAAGGACGUUAAAGCUCGAUCAAUAUCAGAAUGGCGCGGCCUGCCCGAGGGAGGCAGCCCUUCCGUCCCUCGGUGAAGGACGGCCACGAAAUGCAAAAACCAAGGAGCCAAGCCAAGCAGCGAGGGCGUGCGGGCCUGGCGAGGGUACGAGGGCCGGGGGUGAAGGGCAGAGGACCAGGAGCAGGAACGGGAGGCCGGAGGAAGGCUGGAGGGCUGGGAGUAAGGAGAGCAUGGCCAGAGGCAAGGAAAGGAAGGCCAAGGGCGGGAGGUUCCUCAGGAGUGUCGUGGGAAGCUGCACGAUGGAGACUCAGUGACGACUCGUGUAUCGGAGCAAGAGUCGUCCACUACCAAGGCAAGGGCGGCGGGAAGCAACGAAACAACGAUGAAGUGACAGCACCAGCCUCAAGUCCAGGUGGGGAGGAGAGACUGAGAGCACACCUGUUGGACACUCCUUCAAGACAGCUCAUGUACUUAGGUAUCGAAAACCAAUCCGAGAAAGAGAUGAUUUGCCUUGUGUAUGAAACGAAAACCUCGCCGUAGUGGACCACAGGGGUGUUUCGUUAGUCGUCAUCAAGGUAAGGAAGGAUUCACAAAAAGGAUGUGGAAAGGAAAUGAUUCAGAACCUUCUUGCAGUAUAAUAAACAAAGAAGAAAAGGGAACAGAUCUGAGGCCAUCCUGCUGCAAAGUGAAAAGGAAAGUUGAAGUUUUUUCCUGUAUAUACCGAAACCAAGGGCGGGGAAAAGAUUCAAUUCCUCCUCAAGUCAGCGGAAAGAAAAUAGAAAAAGAAAAAAUCAAAACUUUCCUGCAACGUAACAAG